CACGGAUUAUCAACUCGACGACCGCACUGCUUAAAGCACGAGGUCAGAUACAUCGGGGAAAACUCAAGAGUGCGGAACUAAAGAGGGGAAAUCUUUGAAGAACAAUGUGAGAGCUCAAAAAGUGUACAUUAUAUUGUCCUGCAUGACAUGAAGUUGGCUAUAAAACACUAAAGAACAAAACAGCCAUAAAGAUAGUGUUGCUGUAUGAAGAGUUCCUGGUCUGUGUAAUGUCACCAUCAACUGAACAUACAAAACCCUCUGCCAGUCUAACGUGGACUGCCAUGUGAAAAGAUGCCUUCCAAGUUACCAUCCUCAGUGAGCUGUCUGCCAUUCUCUGUCUCCUGCAGUGAUAGCAGACAUGCUCUCUCUGGCUUUACUCAGGAGCUAAUGAAUCUUGAACAGCUUCCUUUUCUCACCUCCACAGUCUUAAUCUUUUAUCCUGUUCAAGAGUUAUACAUUUGUCUAUUGACAGUGUUUUCAUUUUAUUCAAUGUAUGGUAAUUGAUUGUAUUCAUCAUACUACAUCUAUUAUAAUGAGGGUGCGUAUUCUUAGUGUCCUUUUAGAGUCUCAGAGAAUUCGAUUUAAAUAUGUUUAGGUAAUUUUGAAGGUGUGGGCGUAAAGAGGAGUUAUGAGUUGUAGAAAUGCACAUAAGAGAUGGGAACAAAGAGGGUGUACAGAAGGAUGUUAUGUGGAGAGAUCCCCCAAGGGUGUAUAGAUACAUAUGAUGUUGCUUGAAAUUUAGUUGUAGUCUUGUCUCUGCUUAUAAUGAGAAGAGAAACAAAAUAAAAACUUUAGGACUGGUAGACUUGUGCCAGCAGUAUUAUGAGAAUAGGCUACUAUCAGUAUCAUGUGUGAAGGUUGUUGGGAAAUGUUGAUAGGAAUUAUAAUUUGAUUUAAAAUUGCAGAUAUUAAAUACACCUUGUGUUAAGGGAAAUGCGACUAUUUUUGGUAAAGAGUCUGUUGUUGCAACAGGAAAUGUGGUGAAAAAUCAUCUUAGAAUUAUAACACUUACAAGAACUUGUGGCUUUUAAUACAAAAUAUCAGAAGCCAUGCUGGUCCGCAGAACAACCAACUUCCCUGAGCACUGGCUCUGCUUUUAUACACAUACAGCAUAUGAGUCCAUCCUACAUGCAAAUGAAGUUACUUCCCCCAGUCCAUCUGCCACCAUUAUCUUUUAGUUUAAGCUUCCUGUUUGUUCAUGCCCAUAUCUGCUUUCGGUUAGGUAAUAAUGGUGGCGGGACCCUUUCAUGUCCUAAAAAUAAUAUAUGUCCAGCUGUCCUAUGGGCCUAUGUCUUUGGCCUUUGUACUUAUGUUUAGCUUGGUGUGCUCUUUGGUAUGUUGCCCUUAUUAGGACUAGUAGAUUGUGUGUCCCUCUGACAUUGGUAUGUCCAGCUUAUCCUAAGCACUUAUGGCCUUGGCCAUUAUACUUAUGUUUGUUCCGCUCCAUCUAAUCUUUGGUAUGCUGCCCUUUCCAGAAUAGCAAAUACACUUAAGUGUCGCCUUCUCCUCCUGUGGUCUGAUGUACACAUGUCCUUGCUACUUUUAGUAUUACAUCUGUCCCUAUAUGAAACAUUAACUCCCACAGAAAUCACACUUACCUUUCUCUCUCCCUCAUGAUGAAAAAGCUCUCGGAGCUAAGGAAAAAUCCCUAGAAACGACUCAAAAACUAUCAAUAAGGUAACCUUUAAAAGUUAUUUUUAUACAAAAAUAGAAAAGUAAAACAGUCCAAUUUAAACAGUAAUACAAAAUCUAAAAACUACUUUAAAAUAAAAAGGCUCAAAAGCAUUAUAGCUAAACAGGGUUUCCCAACUAGCGGCCCGCGGGUGGCUUUAUUUAAAAACAUAUAUAUAUUUUUUUAAACAAUUAUUAUUGUUGGGCAUAAUAGACUGUAAAACACCAGAAAAAAGUUGAUUGUUUAUUAUUGUUUGAACUGUAUCGAUUUUAUAUAGGACUAUUGAAAUUUGUCCAAGAAGAAAUUUGGACAUUUUAAGUCCUUUUUUUGUUUUCCAUUUAUACACACAUCUUCGUGCCCUACUCACUCCUCCACUGGGAUGGAAUACAGAUGAUUGCAAAUCCUUUAAUGUUGAUGACUGGGUUCUUUGUUGUCAGACGUUUCUUUUGAAGUUGCCACGGAGUUGCUCGUCAUUAUUAUUGUAUGAGGUAUUAUUGAUUGGUUUUCCCGUGCUGUGACUUUUAUUCAUAUGUUGUGUGUUAAAACUUAAGGAUAGCCCCCUUUUUUCAAUUUUCGCCUAAAAUGACAUGUCCAAAACUAACUGCCUGUAGCUCAGGCCCUGAAGCAAGGAUAUGCAUAUUCUUGGUAUCAUUUGAAAGGAAGCACUUUGAAGUUUGUGGAAAUGUGAAUUGAAUGUAGGAGAAUAUAACACAAUAGAUCUGGUAGAAGAAAAUACAAAGAAAAAGUAUUGAGAUAAACUUUUGUUAUUGACUAAAUACUUAUUUUCACCAUAAUUUGCUAAUAAAUUCAUGAAAAAUC